GGGCCGAUGGUCUAGCUGGUUAGGACACCGCCCUCACGCGGCGGGGGUCGCCGGUUCAAAUCCGGCUCGGCCCACCA
rnacentral:tRNA from 1 species